rnacentral:tRNA from 1 species
GACCUCGUGGCGCAACGGUAGCGCGUCUGACUCCAGCUCAGAUGGUUGCGUGUUCAAAUCAUGUUGAGGUCA